rnacentral:misc_RNA from 1 species
GUCAGGCUUCAGAGCAGCUUUUCUUUUUCUGGUAGUACUUGUAUUGGGCUCCUUCCUCGUGGCGGAAUCAGCGGUUGGAGUGAACUGGGGUACAGUAUCUUUCCGAAAGCUGAAGCCUUCCACAGUUGUGGAUCUGUUGAAAGACAACAAGAUAGAGAAGGUGAAGCUGUUUGAUGCAGACCCAGAUGUGCUUACAGCUUUAAUAGGGAGUGGUAUUCAAGUCAUGGUUGGGAUCCCAAAUGAAAUGUUGGCUGCAAUUAGCUCCUCAACUACUGUUUCUGAUUCGUGGGUGCGCCAGAAUGUUUCCAGAUAUGUGGUUAAAGGUGGUGUUGAUAUCAGGUAUGUAGCUGUAGGAAAUGAACCAUUCCUAUCUAGUUAUUCUGGUCAAUUUCAAUCCUAUGUAAUGCCUGCCCUGCUCAAUUUACAGCAGUCUUUGGCUAAAGCAAAUCUCGCUGGUUAUGUAAAGCUAGUGGUCCCUUGCAAUGCAGAUGCCUAUGAAUCCUCCCUACCUUCUCAAGGGGCAUUUCGACCUGAGUUAACUGAAAUUAUAACUCAACUUGUUUCCUUCCUCAACUCAAAUGGUUCCCCUUUUGUUGUCAAUAUUUACCCAUUUCUUAGUCUCUAUGGG